CCCACACGGGCCAUCAGCAGUGAUAAACAUUAAGCAAUAAGCGAACACACAAACUUUAAAGCUUGACUUAGUUAUGAUUAACAGGGCCGGUAAACCUCGUGCCAGCCACCGCGGUUAUACGAGGGGCCCGAAGCAGCAGACCUCGGCGUAAAUAGUGGCUAGAAUAAUUACCAACACAUUAAAAACUAAACCCUAGCCUAACCGUAAAACACAGGCUAAAUGAAACCAAACAUUUUUAACAACAGGUAAUUUGACCCACGAAAACUAAGAAACAAACUAGGAUUAGAUACCCUACUAUGCUUAGGCGUUAAUAUGAUAUUGUACUACUAAAAUAUCCGCCAGAAAACUACGAGCGAAAAGCUUAAAACUCAAAGGACUUGGCGGUGCUCCACACCGACUUAGAGGAGCCUGUCCUGUAAUCGAUACCCCACGCUAAACCUCACCAAUCUUUGCCAAUCAGCCUAUAUACCGCCGUCGACAACCUACCUCAUGAGAGAAAAACAGUAAGUACAAAAGUCCAAUAACUAGAACGUCAGGUCAAGGUGUAGCUAAUAGAAUGGAAGAGAUGGGCUACAUUUUUUAAGAUAAAACACACGGCAUGGUACUAUGAAACUUCUACCUAAAGGAGGAUUUAAUAGUAAAACUAACAAGAAAGUUAAUUUUAAAU
rnacentral:rRNA from 1 species